rnacentral:rRNA from 1 species
GACGUAGGGCGCAAGCGUUGUCCGGAUUUAUUGGGCGUAAAGAGCUCGUAGGCGGCUUGUUGCGUCGGCUGUGAAAACCCCGUGGCUUAACUGCGGGCUUGCAGCCGAUACGGGCGGGCUGGAGUUCGGUAGGGGAGACUGGAAUUCCUGGUGUAGCGGUGAAAUGCGCAGAUAUCAGGAGGAACACCGGUGGCGAAGGCGGGUCUCUGGGCCGAUACUGACGCUGAGGAGCGAAAAGCGUGGGGGAGCGAACAGG